UACGAAGGGGGCUAGCGUUGCUCGGAAUCACUGGGCGUAAAGCGCACGUAGGCGGCUUUUUAAGUCAGGGGUGAAAUCCUGGAGCUCAACUCCAGAACUGCCUUUGAUACUGGGAAGCUUGAGUCCGGAAGAGGUGAGUGGAACUCCGAGUGUAGAGGUGAAAUUCGUAGAUAUUCGGAAGAACACCAGUGGCGAAGGCGACACACUGGGCCAUUACUGACGCUGAGGCGCGAAAGCGUGGGGAGCAAACAGG
rnacentral:rRNA from 1 species